rnacentral:rRNA from 1 species
AGGGGCAGCGGGGGAGGAAGCUUUGCUUUUUUCCGCCGGCGACCGGGCGCACGGGUGAGUAACACGUAAUGCAACCUGCCCCCUGUCAGGGGGACAACCCGCCGAAAGGCGGGCUAAACCCGCGUACAUGCCACCGGGGCAUCCCGGAGGCAGGAAAGGCUUCGGCCGGACAGGGGAUGGGCAUGCGGCGCAUUAGGCAGUAGGCGGGGUAACGGCCCACCUAACCGACGAUGCGUAGGGGUUCUGAGAGGAAGGUCCCCCACACUGGUACUGAGACACGGGCCAGACUCCUACGGGAGGCAGCAGUGAGGAAUAUUGGUCAAUGGUCGGGAGACUGAACCAGCCAAGCCGCGUGAGGGAGGAAGGUACAGAGUAUCGUAAACCUCUUUUGUCAGGGAACAAAGACUGGGACGCGUCCCCGGAUGAGUGUACCUGAAGAAAAAGCAUCGGCUAACUCCGUGCCAGCAGCCGCGGUAAUACGGAGGAUGCGAGCGUUAUCCGGAUUUAUUGGGUUUAAAGGGUGCGCAGGCGGUCUGUUAAGUCAGCGGUCAAAGCCCGGGGCUCAACCCCGGCCCGCCGUUGAAACUGGCAGUCUCGAGUUGGAGAGAAGUAUGCGGAAUGCGCGGUGUAGCGGUGAAAUGCAUAGAUAUCGCGCAGAACUCCGAUUGCGAAGGCAGCGUACCGGCGCCCAACUGACGCUGAAGCACGAAGGCGUGGGUAUCGAACAGGAUUAGAUACCCUGGUAGUCCACGCAGUAAACGAUGAAUGCUAGUUGUCCGGGGCGAUUGAGUUCUGGGUGACACAGCGAAAGCGUUAAGCAUUCCACCUGGGGAGUACGCCGGCAACGGUGAAACUCAAAGGAAUUGACGGGGGCCCGCGCAAGCGGAGGAACAUGUGGUUUAAUUCGAUGAUACGCGAGGAACCUUACCCGGGCUCAAACGGGGAGUGACUCAGGCAGAGACGCCUGUUUCCCACGGGACACUCCCCGAGGUGCUGCAUGGUUGUCGUCAGCUCGUGCCGUGAGGUGUCGGCUUAAGUGCCAUAACGAGCGCAACCCCCAUCUACAGUUGCUAACAGGUAAAGCUGAGGACUCUGUGGAGACUGCCGGCGCAAGCUGUGAGGAAGGCGGGGAUGACGUCAAAUCAGCACGGCCCUUACGUCCGGGGCGACACACGUGUUACAAUGGCAGGUACAGCGGGAAGCCAUAUGGCGACAUAGAGCGGAACCCGAAAACCUGUCUCAGUUCGGAUUGGAGUCUGCAACCCGACUCCAUGAAGCUGGAUUCGCUAGUAAUCGCGCAUCAGCCACGGCGCGGUGAAUACGUUCCCGGGCCUUGCACACACCGCCCGUCAAG